UGUUAUUUCAAAAGAAACGUAUUUACAGAGACUAUUGAGCCUGUUCGACUUUAAAAACACUAAGGGACCUCUUUAGGUUGCAUAAUCGCAGCAGAUCUUGAACGUAGCAUCAUUGAGGCUGUUCGAAUCCCUCAGUGGCAGCGAGUGGUCCAGUGUGUUCCUGUGCUGAUACCCGUAAACCCUGAGCAAGAACAACAGAAAACUGCUUCGCAGAAACUUCACGUGUGGGAGAAAACAUCAUUGAAGAAGGGAAGGGAAAUACCCUCAUGACACAUUUUGGACGUAUUCUAUUUUUCAACUCAGAAGAGGACGUUGAAUAGGCUCUCGUGGAUUUCUUUUCAGACAAUUUCUAUUUGUCAAUGAAGGACUUUUGAGCAUCGUAUGACACGCAGAACCCUUUUCUUUGGAAGAUUUGCUGUUUCGCUUUUGAGCUUGCAUACCUAUGAAAUCAGAGCUAAACCCUAUAUCUGCUUCAAUCAGAAAACGGCAGAUAAUUAGAUGGGGAUCUUACAAAUGUGAAAUUAAAACGUAUACAGAUAAAAACGGCAUUAUAAUGAAUCAUCCUGCAGCAUCUAUAUUUCACUAACCAACACUGAAAAUGACGGCGAUGUAACAUAGGGUUUUACUUCCUUCAUUGUCAUGUGACUUUGAACCCUUUUGAGCAUUAUUUUCUUCAAACUCAGACAGUCUUUUUCAGCCGUUUAAUGAGGUGAGCAGUGGUUUUCAGUGACCUCCAUCGCCAGUAAAAGACUGUCUCUGAACUCCUUUUUUCUUUUCUCCGUGCGUUUCGGUAGAUCUUAAAAUGAUUCGAUAAAAGGCGAGUCGAGGACAAAACAUACUGGCACGCAGUGUGGCAGCUGUCUGUCUCCCCUCGUCUGGUGUCAAAGUGGAACUGCUACACAAACUGCUGUCCAUGUUCCAGGGCAGACAACUUUCACAGACUGCUUCCCAUAAGAAUUUGUUUCAUUUUUGCCAUUCAGCAUAAAGUGCUAUCAGGGUUACUCUCUUACUCCUGACAAUAAGAAACAGUGGCUCAAAUGAGUUUGUGAAGAAUUCAAUCUGCCUGGGAAAGAAAUACCUGAACUGGAAACGGUAGCACUCGGAAAUUCAUCGGAGACGUGACCCGCAUAGGAGCUGUUAGGGGAAUCUGUUAAGCAGAAGCGAUUCUCCUUCUUGAACCAAUCUGACUUCCUGCUUGGCCAGUUCUCUGGAUCGCCAUUCCAGAUCAUUCCUGCAACUUUUUGACCCAUCUCCCAGUGUUUCACCCUGGAAGAAGGGAUCUGCCUCUGGGGAAAGGGGCUGUGCUUUCCUGUGGGAGGUGGAGAGGGGGUCGUCGGUGUGCCGCUCCCUGUCCGUCAGUGCACACACUCUGUGAUCAGCGCCAACGGGCCUGAGGAACAGAGCCAAGCCGGACCGAGAGAGGAGGCAGAGGACUUCAGAGCCAGACUCUGGGAUCCUGGCCAUGAGGUUUGAUGCCUCGAUCCACUGACCGGAAACACUGGACCUAAAUGGCGCAGCAUGACUUUGUCCCUGCCUGGCUUAACUUCUCCACGCCCCAGCCUGCCAAGGUGUGUGUGUGUGUGUUUAUACUGUUUGU